rnacentral:lncRNA from 1 species
CAGGGGGUUAAGAUAUUUGCUUAUGGUCACAGCUGCUAAGUAGGAAGUUGGUGUUUGAACCUAGACAGUCUAGUUUCAGGGUACAGGUGCUUAACAAUUACGCUUUGUUGUAUCAGUGGCAAGCAAAAGAAGGGUGUAGUCUUUACCACUGAGGAAUUUAGAAUCUGCUUCUGGAAGAUAAAGCUAAAUUGCUGAGAGCUGUGGGUGACAGAGCACGUAAGGCAGAGUGCAGACUACAGACAUCGUAGGAGUUGAAGAAGGAGAAUCCUCCCACAUUGUCAUUGUUGACAGACAUCAACGGGCCUGAACAAAGAAGAGGAUAAAUAGGUCAAUCCAUCAUCAAACCAGCUCAGUUGUAGGGAGGGGACUAUAGAACAGCCCUGAAUGGCCAUAGCGGGAGCUACCAGAUAAGGAGUCCUAGAGGAUCACAGCACCUGCCGAGCCCAGAUGUGGUCAGGAUCCAUUCUGUCAUAGCCCAGGGAGCAGCCAUCACAAAAAUUCUCCGUGAGAAAAAAACUUUUCUGUUGUUCUCUAGCACUUGGGGGCUGUAGGAGGGGAGUUCGAGGUGCAGCUCUGUGUUUGUAGAACAUUUAUAAUGGGUGUUUUUUUUUUCAAUACCUCUGAACAGUCCUAGUUUCCUCUUAAACUUUCAAAUCAGGGUUGUGGUGUUAAGAAAGGGAGAUUUUAGGAAAAGGGCUAUUCUGUCUCCUUUUCUUGGGUCCUUCUUAAGUAAUUGGACAGUUAAAAUGAAAAUACAAGCUCAUUUAAAUUGAUAAGAGCUUACUUAACAUGUUGGUCUUCUUACUAAUAAAUUUGUAAUAUUAAAGGAUCUUUCUUUCCCCAUUCAGAUUUUAUAAACAUUUAUGUGACAGACAUGUGUUAGGUGAGUUUAGAAUCAUUGUCUCUUGGAAACACACUAAUUGCAAUGUUGGUUACUUCAGAGACCUCCACAGGCUAAAGGGAGCAGUUAUUUAGGGACAAAUUUUUGGCAAACCUUGUAUAACAGCUCAUCCAAGUCCCCUUUACUUAUGAGUAGAAAUGAACCUGUGACUUACAACUAAAUAGAAAUAAGUGUUCUCAGCAGGGAAGAGUCAUUACCAAUUUAAUGAACCAGAGUUCUGUUUAUAGCUCUGUGAAGGAUCAUAAUGUGUAAAUUUAAAUAAAACACCAUGACUUUCCUUUUAAGUGUUAA